CCUACGGGUGGCAGCAGUGAGGAAUAUUGGACAAUGGACGAGAGUCUGAACCAGCCAAGUAGCGUGAAGGAUGACUGCCCUAUGGGUUGUAAACUUCUUUUAUAUGGGAAUAAAAUGUUCCACGUGUGGGAUUUUGUAUGUACCAUAUGAAUAAGGAUCGGCUAACUCCGUUCCAUCAGCCGAGGUAAUACGGAGGAUGCGAGCUUUAUCCGGAUUUAUUGGGUUUAAAGGGUGCGUAGGCGGGCUGUUAAGUCAGCGGUAAAAGCCCGGGGCUAAACCCCGGCGAGCCGUUGAAACUGGCUGUCUUGAGAUGUCGAGAGGGAUGCGGAAUUCGCGGUGUAGCGGUGAAAUGCGUAGAGAUUGCGAAGAACUCCGAUGGCGAAGGCAGCAUACCGGCGGCGAUCUGACGCUGAGGCGCGAAAGCGUGGGUAUCGAACAGGAUUAGAUACCCUUGUAGUC
rnacentral:rRNA from 1 species